rnacentral:rRNA from 1 species
GAUUAACGCUGGCGGCGUGCAUAACACAUGCAAGUCGAACGAUGAAACUUAAAUGAUUUCUUCGGAAUGAUUUUAAGUGGAUUAGUGGCGGACGGGUGAGUAACGCGUGAGUAACCUGCCUUAGAGAAGGGGAUAGCCUUUGGAAACGAAGAAUAAUACCCUAUAACACCAACACCUCGCAUGAAGAGUUGGUCAAAGAUUUAUCGCUCUAAGAUGGGCUUGCGUCUGAUUAGUUAGUUGGUGAGGUAACGGCCCACCAAGACAGCGAUCAGUAGCCGGCUUGAGAGAGUGUACGGCCACAUUGGGACUGAGACACGGCCCAGACUCCUACGGGAGGCAGCAGCGGGGAAUUUUGCACAAUGGGGGAAACCCUGAUGCAGCGACGCCGCGUGAUUUAGAAGGCCUUCGGGUUGUAAAAAUCUUUUCUAUGGGAAGAAAAUGACAGUACCAUAGGAAUAAGGACCGGCUAAUUACGUG